GACGAACGCUGGCGGCGUGCUUAACACAUGCAAGUCGAGCGGUAAGGCCCUUUCGGGGUACACGAGCGGCGAACGGGUGAGUAACACGUGGGUGACCUGCCCUCAGCUCUGGGAUAAGCCUGGGAAACCGGGUCUAAUACUGGAUAUGACUCCAUGACGCAUGUUGUGGGGUGGAAAGCCUUGUGCGGCUGAGGAUGGGCCCGCGGCCUAUCAGCUUGUUGGUGGGGUGAUGGCCUACCAAGGCGACGACGGUAGCCGGCCUGAGAGGCGACCGGCCACACUGGGACUGAGACACGGCCCAGAC
rnacentral:rRNA from 1 species